AUUGAACGCUGGCGGCAUGCCUUACACAUGCAAGUCGAACGGCAGCGGGGGAGAAGCUUGCUUUUCCUGCCGGCGAGUGGCGAACGGGUGAGUAAUACAUCGGAACGUGCCCUGUAGUGGGGGAUAACUAGUCGAAAGAUUAGCUAAUACCGCAUACGACCUGAGGGUGAAAGUGGGGGACCGCAAGGCCUCAUGCUAUAGGAGCGGCCGAUGUCUGAUUAGCUAGUUGGUGGGGUAAAGGCCUACCAAGGCGACGAUCAGUAGCUGGUCUGGGAGGACGAUCAGCCACACUGGGACUGAGACACGGCCCAGACUCCUACGGGAGGCAGCAGUGGGGAAUUUUGGACAAUGGGCGAAAGCCUGAUCCAGCAAUGCCGCGUGUGUGAAGAAGGCCUUCGGGUUGUAAAGCACUUUUGUCCGGAAAGAAGUGGCUCUGGUUAAUACCUGGGGUCGAUGACGGUACCGGAAGAAUAAGGACCGGCUAACUACGUGCCAGCCGCCGCCGUAA
rnacentral:rRNA from 1 species